UCUCUAGCCCACCCUCAGAGACUGUGAUGCUGUAGGUCUGGAGGGGGGUGUAAUGUACAAAUGGAUAUGUAUUUUAAAAUCCCUCCAGUGGAUUCCAGUGCACCAUCAGGGCUGGAAAUCCGCAUCAGCGCUGGAUCAAGGAGGCAAGACAGGUGCUCCCCAGUGCGGGCAGCUCGUUGGGGCAACUGGACAAGCUGGGCAGUUGCAGUCUCAGUUACUUCAACAACUCCCCGAUGCCGCCCGAGACUGCACGUGAAGGGUUCACAUGGAGUGGAAACAACGGCGAAGUAUGUCUACAGGCCUGAGCCUGCAUCGCAAAUGGCAGGAGACAGGCAGGUGAGGCGCGUCUCAGCUCAGGUGCGGCUGCAGUGCGGCGAAUGGGCACAGGGGGGCAGUGUGGCCCCGUGUGGCUUGGCAGCCCUCUACCGCGGAAGGAGGCCUGGCCGGGGCUGGCACCCAGGCUCCAGCAGAGCCCCGGCCUGGUGAGGGGCUGUCCGGCCACCUUCCUCCCCUCCCAGCUCAGGCCCUGUCCUACAGAACCUGGCUCUCGGGGGAGUAAAGUUCCUGCAACAUUUACUGAGUGUGAAUUUUCUCAUGGCAAACACUGUCCUGGGUUAUUUCGUUUGAUCUUCACACCAAUCCGAGGCAGGCAUGUUAUUCCCCUUCUAGAAAGAGGAAGCCACAGCUCAGGGAAGCUGAUGAACUUCCUGGCAGGUGGCAGGCCACGACCGAGACUCAAGUCUGUCUGACUCCAGGCCAAGUCGUCUUCACGUUCCGCCACUGCUCCUUUGUACAGGCACAGGUGUGACGAGGACGCUCCAUUUCAUUACUAAGUGGCCAGCUGCAGGUCACAGAAAGAAAGAAAAAGGGAGAGGAGCCAAGAAUUUGAAAACCAGCGACUUAAACUCCUGGCCCCUGCUCUUGUUUGGAAGGCUCAGAUCCUAAAACCGGAAAAACAGAGCCAACAGGCCUGGUCCUGUGUGAGGAGGACACGCAAAUCCGUGGAGCGUUCCACAUGUUUCCAGGGAGGAUGAAAUGUUCUGGAGAUGGACAGAGACGAGUGGUUGUACAACUGUGCCAAUGUCCCUAAUGCCACUGAACUGCAUAUUUAAAAUAGCUGAAUGGGGAAGGGUUGGAAAUGCAAUAUGUUGUGGGACACAGAAACUAACCUGAAAAACGCAUCUUGGAAAAUAAAGAAAAAUCUGUUCCUUAUUCUCUGGUCGCCAUCCAGACUGAAGAUGCCGCAUCACCCUCACUGAGUCAUCACCUCUGCUUUCAAAGCCUCGUUCCUUCCUCCUGGCUCUUCCGGGGACUCACACAAACCUUGGGACUGGAAGGGACCUGAGAAGUUUUCUGAGCCCGCCGUGGCUUGGGUCUCCCUGGAUGGCGUACAUUUUUAGGCGAUCUCUGCAUGACCCUCUCUCUCCUUCUGAGGUAUAAGAUUGACGACGAUCAAGAACGAGCUCCCUUCAGUUUCAGAGACUUUAAGGAAAACUAUACAGAAAGGAGCUCUUUUGUAAAGGAUCAGAAGAAGAGAAAACGAUAGGGGUUUGUUUCUUGCUGGCCUGCCCUCUUCCUCACACGUCUCUGUUCCUGCAUGAAGCAGCACUGUGUGGACAAAUGCCAGGGCGGUCAUCCACAGAUCUGGAGUCGGCUGUCCCUCAUGGAUGGGGCCCAGAGGCUCCCACCUGCAGCACUGACGGCCAUUGGGGUCCUUUCCACAGAACCACUGAGGGUCUGUCUCAUCUGUGGGCUCGUAAGGAAACGGCACAGUGAGCAAGCCAGCUCAUCACCACAUUCCUGAAGCUUGUCUCGUUAUAGUUGGAGCCCCUAAAUUUGGCUUAGGAGCCUGCUUGACCCGGGGCUUCCUGGAGACCUAUGAUCUUGUGAUUACAAGACCGGGGCGGUGAUGCUGUACAGGGGUCAGUUUAGGUCAGUGUGUUUCAACUGCAGGUCAUGACCGUCAGUGGCUCAAGAAAUCAAUUUUGUGGGGCCGGCCUGGUGGCACAGCAGUUAAGUUGGCACGUUCCACUUUGGCAGCAUGGGGUUUGACGGUUUGGAUCCUGGGUGCAGACCUACACACUGC